rnacentral:lncRNA from 1 species
UCACGGAUCCUCCUAAUUAAGGAAAUGACAUAAUUAUUCUCCAUAAAUUUGAAAUACAACUAAUUUUACAUAAUAAUUCUCGAAGCGAAUAUCUAUCAACAAUAAACUAUUCCCACAUGCACAAAAUUACCGAAAUACCCCUACAUGCCAAAAUUACCAAAAUGCCCCCAACAUCAUUAUUUUACCAAAUUAUCCUCAGAAUCUUCAAUUAAUAAAUUGUCCUCAAUUCAGAUCACGAAAUUAUCACAAUGUCAGAAAUUACGAAAUUACCCUCGGCACGUAAAAUUACCAAAAUGUCCUUAGCGACUUAAAUUACCAAAUUACCCUCGAAAUAUCAAAUUACCUCACUGCCCUAACAUAAAAUUACCAAAUUAUCCACUGAUUCCAUAAAUUACAAAUUCACCCUAAAUUUUUAUGAAUUUACCAAAUUGCCCGUACCGGUCAACGGUGACCGGACUUCAGUCAACGACAACGGGAAGCUUAGGUCUGAUAGUUCAGACCUCGGUGAGUCCAAUGGUGGUGCCCGUGAGUCCCCACGCGCGGCGAUAGCGGUAGAUCGAAGCUCCAAAAUCUGUGAGCUUUCCGGUGGUCGUUUGCAGCAAAGACGGCGUCCCUGGUGGUCGUGGUCAGUCGGAAAGUGACGAGUGUGAGUUAAGGAACAAGAUCCGAGUGGUGGCGGGAUUAAAGGCGGCGAAAACAGGUCUUGGCCGCGAAUUUUCGAGCUCAAUCGCCGGCUUUCUGG